AAGCGUGCAUCAGUUUUUCAGCAUCUGAUAGAAUGAGAGUGGGACGAAGAUUAGCAAUAUUACUCAGAUGAUAAAAAGAGAUCUUGCAGAGGUGUUUAAUAUGGGUAUCGAAAGUGAGAUCACGUCCAACUGCCCCAUUGCAUCAUGCUUUUUCUCCACCAAUGCCUGACCUCUGCUCUGAUUAAGGUUGGUUACCCACGCCCCCCUCCGACACGUGGACAGCAGCCGUAUGCAUUAUAUCACUUGCACUUUGACGAGUGCAGUGCAGCCCAGCUGCGUGUAUGGAGAGACACACCCUAAGAGCACUCUUUUCCCAUCUCUGUGCAGGCGCCAUCAGUCUAAGCUCAGUCUAAGCCAGCAAGGCAGAGCUGCUGUUCCAGCUCUGUUUCCAGCAUGUAUUUUUACCACUACGCCACCUGAGUGGCAAAUUCAAUUAUACUGAACAGCUACAAUGCCAAAACUAGCUAUUCCAGAAUUAGGAACAGUUAAACAGCUAAACAGUUGUAAAACAGUGAGAAUCCUGCUUAUUUCUUCCUGCAAUGUCUCGACUUUGCUUCUGUCUACAUCAGAUUUAUUAUCUAAAUAAUUUGUCAAAUUGGCAGCACUUCAGCAGCAAACUAUGGUCAGAGUUUAAUCAGAAAGUGGUACUUCAUGGCUGCUGCUCGUUUCAUAUGACAAUGAAACCUGCAAAACUUCUGUAAGUUCUGUAAGAGUCCAGUCAAGUCAACUUUAUUUAUAUAGCGCUUUUUACAAUAGACAUUGUCUCAAAGCAACUUUACAAAAUCCAGGACCAACCUUGGAAGAAACCUUGAGAGGAACCAGUUGUAGUGAUUAAUAAGUUCAUUUAGAUACUGUGGAGCAUCCAGUUAGAAGAGCAUUACAAUAAUCUAACCGAGAAGUUAUAAACGCAUGGAUCAGUUUUUCGGCAUCAUUAACAGAUAGUAUUAUUUCUUAUUUUAGAAAUAUUACACAGAUGAUAGAAAGCAACUCUAGUAAUAUUAUUGACGUGUGUAUCAAAGGAGAAAUCUGAAUCUAGUGUGACACCCAAGUUUUUUACAUCUGAGCUGGGAGUAACAGAGAAAGUGUUUAGGUUUAGUACCAUGUUAGACAACUUGUCUCUUGCAGCUUUAGAACCAACAAGCAAAACCUCUGUUUUAUCUGAAUUAAGUAAAAGAAAAUGACAUGACAUCCAGUUUUUUAUGUCGUUUACACAAUCUUCUAUCUUACUGAUUGUGUCAGUAUCAUUUGGUUUGUGUCGUUGGCUGUGUGUCAUCUGCAUAGCAGUAAAAUUUAAGCCAUGUUUAUGAAUAAUUUCUCCUAGUGGAAGCAUAUAGAGGUGGCUUUCCCUUCCAAAAACCUGUUUGACACGUGCAACUGAGAUGGCUGGUGCUUUGCCCUAUGACUAUGCCACCUAGUCGCCCCGCUGUGAGGGCUCUAAUGCCGGAGUCUGGGGUUCUACACCUGAGCUACUGGCAUUCGGGACUGCUACAGCUAAAUCUAAGCACUCACUAGUAGUAGUCUGUUCUAAAGCCCAAAUGCGCCCCUCUAACACUGAAAUCUUCUCCGUCAGACUAACAACUAAUCUACACUUAUCACAUAUAAAGUUAUCAGUAACGACAGAGAAAGAAUAACUGAACGUUGCACACUCAGCACAAGGAUAAAGAGCUCCUGCUGGGGCCAUUAUAGUAGAGAAAUGUACUUAGCUUUAGAAGAAGUGUUUAAGUGCUGUUUAAGUUGGAUUCACGAGCGCUUCUGCUGGUAGUCACAGAAAAACUUUAAAAGCUUUAAUUCUGGAUGAAACAGGCAUUGAUAAGCUGGAAUACAAAAACAAACAAACUUUUAGUUUAAAAGUUUGGAUAUGGUUGUCAUUUGGAGACAUAAAAAAAAUAAAAAAUAAAGAAAAAUAAAAACCAAAAAUUCAAAAUCCAAAAGAGUUCAUCAAACUUUGUUUCAUUAAUCUCAUUUCUUCCUGCAAUGUCUCGACUUUGCUUCUGUCUACAUCAGGUAAAUAAUUUGUCAAAUUGGCAGCACUUCAGCAGCAAACUAUGGUCAGAGUUCAAUCAAAAAGUGGUAAGAACCAAUCGUCAAAGUGGUAAAUGUGCAUGGUGCUUAAGGUAAAACGGCGGCAAGUAAGUGUCUCACACACGGCUAAUCCCAUCCUUAGCGUGAAACAUGGUAGUGGUAGCUUUACGUUAUUGGAAGCUUCUCAGUAGAAAGCGCAGGAAGACUGUUGAAAAUUAGGGGAACAAAUGCAGCAAUAUACAUGAAUGUCCUUGAACCUCUGAGGUGCAAGCAAAUACAGAUGUGGCUUCCAAAAACAGAUGGACAAAGAUUUUAGAAAUGCAUCUAAGAAGACCGUCAGCUGUAAUUGGAGCUUUAACAGAAACUAAAUAAAGUGGUUUGUGAAAUAAA